rnacentral:lncRNA from 1 species
AUUGAGCUUGACAUUGAGGCCCUUGACACGGAGACUCUGUGGGAGCUUGAUCGUUUCGUGACCAAUUGGAAGAAGAUGGUGAGCAAAACUAAAAGGCAGGCGUUGAUCAACAAUUUGGGACAGCCACCAUCCGCCAGUGCUGCAGCUUCUGCUGCUACAACAACAUCCGUUGCAGAGGCUGAUGCGGUAAUAAUGCAGUAUUGCAUUUUUGUUAAUUCUUUUGAUUUGAUACAUACGCUGCCCCUAGUUGCAUUUAUCAAAUUGGUAAUGGAUGGCUAAUAAAAUUUGUUGCUGUGUUUGUUGCAGCCUAGUACAAGCGAGAAAAAUGACUCCUUUAAAAAGCCCAAAAAGGGGGGUGAUGCUGGAGAUGAGGAUGAUGUAGAGAUAGAGGAUGAUGAACCAGCCACCCACUUUCCUCCUGUGGAAAUUGACAAGGAUGAAGGUGGUGGUGGUGGUGGUGUUGGGCAAGAUCGUGAUAAUAAUGCUAGUAGUAGCUCCAGUAGUUCCAGCAGCUCCAGCAGUGAUUCCUCCUCUUCUAGUGGUAUAUAUAUAUAAACUACUCCAACUGCCAAAAAUGAUCCUUUUUGUUGUUCUGGCUCUCAAAUGAAGGCUUUGAUUAAUUGAACAUAACUUUUUUUGUGCAGAUUCUGAUUCAGGAAGUUCUUCAGGGAGUGACUCUGAUGCUGAUGAUGCACACUCUUGAGAUUUGUUGGUCCAAGCAUUGGCCGUUUUGUUUUUUGAGGUAUAAAGUCAGUGCCUCGAAUUGUCUUUCGAUGUUUUGCACAUUCCGCAUCUUGACAUUUGUUGGUUCAAGCGUUGGCCUUUUUUGUUUUUUGAGGUAUAGAGUCGGUGCCUCGAAUAGUCUCUUGAUGUUUUGCACAUUUCGCUGAGCUGAGAAGUUUGGAAGAACCUUUAUGCAGAGCUGUAACCACAUGGGCAGGUACAGAGUUUGUCUGCUUGAGAGGAAGGGGAUUUGGUGACAUAGAAGUUAAGGCGCAGGGAUCACAAUUUUAGGGAUUUUAGGAAUGGUCCCUCUGUUAAUGAGAGUGAGAUAUGUAGAUAGUUGAGACAACACCUUUUGUACAUAUGUUCGUUACACUAAUACAUUUGAUUGUUUUCUUGAAAGAACAUCACACAUUUGUUCUAUUAUGUUUGUACAGCAGUUCGUUACACUAAUACAUUUGAUUGUUUUCUUGAAAGAACAUCACACAUUUGUUCUAUUAUUCAGUUCUAUCAACUUAACUCCCUUCCCUUUUAGCACAAGCCUCCAAGUUUACAGUUCAAAUUUAUUGGGUGAACAACGUGUUGGUAGGGUGGAGAACUUGUGGAGCCACGAUGAGAGUUGAGAUAUAAAUUGGAUCAAUUGAGCAACAACUUAGAGAAAAAAAGAAUGAUUCUUCACCAUGUGCUAUUUUUAUUAAAUUCUGGCAUGCACUUCGAGAUACAUGUUGGAAUCGACCAAUAGGGUAAACAUGUGUAUCAGCUGCCUAUCACUCCAGGGGCGAAAGCACCAAAGUUUGGUUUGGCCUAAGAGCAGAUUGAACAAACAAGCGAACAUUGAUGAAUUCGAUUCAUUCUUUUGAUGGUGAAGCUGUGAGAAUCAGUUUUCCGCUGGGACUUUAGAGGAUGCUGGAAUGGCAUGUAAACGAUUAGAGCAGUUAUGUUAAUAUGUUAUUUGAUGGUUGAAACCUCAAAGCAACUUAUAGCUUGGCUGGCCUUCUUCCUUUUGCUUUUUCUUCCAUAUAUAGGUUAGGUACCUCUCUCUCAGCCGUGAGUGACAGUAUACUUUAAUGAAGUUAGCCAAAUGCUGGCAGCAACUUCCUUAGUAAAGACGUAAACAAUCUCCUUUCACGUGGAGGAUCCCGAAAUGGCAGCAAUGACAGACUCGAGUCUGAUUGCCCUGCUCCUUGCCCAUGUGAUGGCUAUAUAUAAUUAAAUUUUCUGGAGAAUAAUACACAAACACACAACCAUUAAGUUGUAACAAAAGUAUGAGUAGAUGUGGUAUUUUGCACUAGUGCUUUAUUAGGGAUAAUGGCACAUAUGUCUCGAGGCGAAGCCUGAAGCCUUAAUCCAAAGCCAUUGGAGAAAAUAUUAAUUAGAGUAAUAGAAAAUGGGUUAAUUUUACUAAUAAAGAAGUAGAAACAUUGAGUCGACUAGCUAACCAUAAUAAUAGUAUGUCCGUUAUAACGUUGUAAAUCAUCAAAUUCAUGGUUAUCCGGUCAAAACAAUUUGCAUAUUUGUUAUGAAAUAAUAUAAAAGACAAGAACAAUAACUCAAGAACAAGAGCAAAUAGAG